rnacentral:rRNA from 1 species
ACAACAGUUGGAAACGACUGCUAAUACCGCAUAAGCCCACGGCUCGGCAUCGAGCAGAGGGAAAAGGAGCAAUCCGCUUUGAGAUGGCCUCGCGUCCGAUUAGCUAGUUGGUGAGGUAACGGCCCACCAAGGCGACGAUCGGUAGCCGGACUGAGAGGUUGAACGGCCACAUUGGGACUGAGACACGGCCCAGACUCCUACGGGAGGCAGCAGUGGGGAAUAUUGCACAAUGGGGGAAACCCUGAUGCAGCGACGCCGCGUGGAGGAAGAAGGUCUUCGGAUUGUAAACUCCUGUUGUUGAGGAAGAUAAUGACGGUACUCAACAAGGAAGUGACGGCUAACUACGUGCCAGCAGCCGCGGUAAAACGUAGGUCACAAGCGUUGUCCGGAAUUACUGGGUGUAAAGGGAGCGCAGGCGGGAAGACAAGUUGGAAGUGAAAUCCAUGGGCUCAACCCAUGAACUGCUUUCAAAACUGUUUUUCUUGAGUAGUGCAGAGGUAGGCGGAAUUCCCGGUGUAGCGGUGGAAUGCGUAGAUAUCGGGAGGGACACCAGUGGCGAAGGCGGCCUACUGGGCACCAACUGACGCUGAGGCUCGAAAGUGUGGGUAGCAAACAGGAUUAGAUACCCUGGUAGUCCACACUGUAAAC